AUUGAACGCUGGCGGCAGGCCUAACACAUGCAAGUCGAACGAGUGGCGGACGGGUGAGUAAUGUCUGGGAAACUGCCUGAUGGAGGGGGAUAACUACUGGCAACGGUAGCUAAUACCGCAUACCAUCAGAGGUGCUCAUAUGGGAUUAGCUUGUUGGUGGGGUAACGGAUCACCAAGGCGACGAUCCCUAGCUGGUCUGAGAGGAUGACUCUCCACACUGCAACUGAGACAAUGUCCCACCUCCUACGUGAGGCACGAUUGGGUAAUAUUUCACAAUGGGCGCAAGCCUGUUGCAGCCAUGCCGCGUGUAUGAAGAUGACCUUCGGUUUGUAAAGGACGUUCAGCGGGGAGGCGUUACCCGCAGAAGAAGCACCGGCUAACUCCGUGCCAGCAGCCGCGGUAAUAC
rnacentral:rRNA from 1 species